UUAGUAAACACAAACACCAGCAAAUAAACCCGAAAGACAAAAAGCAAAACAAAAAAAGCUCUUCUGUUUUUAGCACGGUGAGUGAUUUUAGAAUCAUUUCCUUUCAUAAGACACGAGUAACCAUGUGGAACUUUUGGCAGUAACAGGGCUGAUCGUUAUAACCCAUUGGGUGGUGAUUUUAUAUUCGGAUGGAUUACUUAAUAAUAAUUACAUUGAACUUACCGUUUAAUUAAAUGUUUAUUUGCCAUGUAAAUUUUAUAUUUCGUCAAAAUUAUGUGAUUUUUACAGCAAGGAUAAUUAUCCUAUGAUUAUGAGGCGGUGACCUUGAACAGUCCCUUAAUAAUUAGUUAUAGUUUCUGAUGUAAUUAAAUCAUUGAACCAGAUCUUGCUGGGUGAGAAGGUAACUAACCACAUGCACAGAGGGACUCAAGUGCAGAGGAGCUAAAAAUCACGCUGCCUCACUAACGAGAGAGGGCUGUGCUGUGACCUCCCCUCCUGAGGCUGCCAGACCUUGGCUGGGGACCACACUGGUGUGUGCUUUGAGUAUUAUUUGUAACAGCCCGCAUUUGUGCCGAUCUGAGACCGUGAGCCCACGGAGCACCAGCUCCCGGGACUGACCUCAGGAGAGGACCUGGUGGAUCCAGGGGUCGUCCCGUGAGCCUGUCCGCCGACCGGUUUAGGGACGGGACCCUGACCCGGUUCUGGCCUAUGAGACUGAGGAGAACUUCACUGGGGGCUGUGGGAGAAGCUCUUCCCCCGCUCAGAGAGAGAGUCGCGGAAAGCCGGUGCUGCUCUCACUGGUGUGCCUGUGCAGGUCUUGUAGCCAAGGUCGCUGCUGGGUGCCAGCCUGGAGGGAGGGAAGUCGUCGUGUUCACGGAGCUGUCCUUGAACCCUGCACUGACCUUCGAGGCCGUCCAGAGUUUCGUAUUUGCCGCAUGUGGAUCUCCUGGUCUGAUGUUGCCUCUGCUUACCCCCGCCCGAGCCCGCUGGUGAUCACUCACGGUUAGUUCAUGUUCCCACAUGAAUGAGAGCGCCGGGGCCCAUCUAUUUGAUUAGGGCAAGAUGAACACGUCAAAGCUCCCUUGAGGACCAGGGAGCAGAUUCAAUACAUCGAUCUCAAAUCGGAAAGGCAAUCCUCUGUGCGCCGGCCUCGUUUGUCUUAAAGAUACGUGUUAUGACGUCAGCUCAGAACAAGAGAACAGAUGCAUGGGAAGUGGCACGCAGAGGGAGAAGCGGGGUCCAUGCUCAUCAGGGAGCCCGACGUGGGGCUUGAUCCCAGGGCCCCAGGAUCACGACCUGUGCUGAAGGCAGACACUUAACUGACUGAGCCACCCAGGCGCCCCAAAGUCAUAACUGGGGUCAGAGAAGACACCGUAGGAACAUGAUCUUGAGACUCGGACGUCUGAGAUUUCCUUUCCUAGCACCUUCCAAGCACACGUGCCGGCAUUGUGGGCCGGAGGCUCGGGGGACCUUGCGUCUGGAGCACAGGUAAGUUUCCCGUGUCGCUGUCCCGGUUGGGACAAGCCGGUAGAACCUGCAUCCGAGAACAGCCGGGGAGACCUCGUGUGUUCGCGCCCGGCGUGGAGCUCGCCGCACGUUCCCGCGAGCAGUCUGGUCCGCGCAGGAGAGCCGGUGGCCGGGGUCGGGCGCGGGUUGGAGCCCCCAGCAGCGCGGUGAGCCCGCACCUGCUCCGCGUGUGUCGUCUGAAAGCUUCCUGCUUCCCUUCCUGGUUUCCCUUGGCUGCGUGGCAGGUGAGGAUUCAAGCAGAGCUGGCCCUGCGCUCGGCUGCUUUCAUCUCCGCAGACCAGCAGCGGGGCUUCGGCCUUGAUCUGCCGCACUCCAGGUCCGCCUCUUAGAGGCCCUGGGUCACCCCCAGGCUUUUAAGGGUUUUGGGGGUUAAAUUGAUAAUAAAUUGAAGCUUUGUUGUUUGGCAGAUUUUCCCCUUGUAUUUGCUCUUCUUUCCUCAGUGGAGAGCCUGGGAGGCCCCAUCCAGCUCCGUCCGCGUCUCAGAUCUGCCGUGACAGCCCGUUGCCGGCUGGGACGGGCUUGGAGUCAGCGCUUUGGUGUGUUUCUCCUUCUCAGAUAAUGACCCCGAGUGCCAGCGUCUGCGUGUGGAGAUGACCAGUGUGUAAAGUCUCGGGCACGUCCGUGCGGGGCCGGGCCUCCUCUGUGUCCCUCUGUGGGGACACCGGCCCGGCCCGGCCCGUCUGCUCGGCUCCCGUCUGGUGUGGACACACCCAGGAGGCUGUUGUUUUCUUCCGUGUGUUUGUGUCCCUGGAAUUUCACUUUGUUCGAGGCAGAGCCGAGUGCAUUCAGGGAGUGUCUGAGCGGCGGAGGCUGCCUGGUUCGGAAAGCACCGGCUCGGAGGGCGGAGCGGGCCCGAUUGCAAAACCACUCAACCUGCGGACGGUCGGUUCCAGACACGCGCGUCUGGGCUGCAGGCCUACGAGGUCGGGUUUUGAGCUGCCUGUGGGAAGGGGCGGUUUACAGCCGCCGGCGAUACAGCUCCCACACCGAGGACGAAAUGACGUGGUGGGGACGGGCUGGCGGGGGCGGGGCCUCACCGGGCAGAGCCUCUCUUCUUCCUUUGAUUCCAAUCGGGCGCCAAGCUCGGGCGUGUGGAAGAGCCACGGAGGACGCGGGAAGGUUGUGUUGACUUUGUGCUCAGCCUUCACUCUGUUCCUUGGGCCAAGGUGACUGAGCUCUGCCUGUAUGUGCCGAGACACCCCGCUCCCUCCGCUGGAUUCUUUGUAAAUAAGCCGCAGCUCCCGGUUCCCUGCCCCACUGCCUUGUCCUGGUUUCCUCCAGCACCGCAGUUCAGCCUGGUCGCAGCUCCUGGAAAUAAUAUGAGAAAGUUAUGCCGUUUCACUCCAUCAGAUUUAAUAAGUUUGGAUGCUUUCCAAAUACGAGGCAUUAAUCACACUUAAGCCCAGGGCUUGAGAGUUCACCCACCCGGAGCACUCAUGUCAGAGACAUAAAACCAUCUGCUUUAAUGCCCGCAGAUCUCUUUAAAUUGAGCACUUGCCUUGUGUUAAUAAAACUUGCUUUGCAUUGAGGGGCUGGGGUGGCGACUGGGGGGGCGGAUUUUUAUAUCAUGUAAAGCAUUUCGUGGCCAAAUGUUCCCUUCCUGUUUUAAAGCCUUGCAGAAUUACAUGGGAAAAGAAAAGGAAUUAGGUAAGCUCAGAAUAAGGAAGCAUUAGUCACACCUUGGCAGUGUGCAGAGCUUGGUUCCUGUCAGAGAGAUGAAGAGGACCGUGGCCCUUCCAGUUGGACGGCUCUCCCGUUGUCAUUCUUGUGCUCUGUUCCGGGCAGCGGUGCCGUCGGACGAUCGCGUGCUGCCCCUUCUCCGCCCCUGGGAAGAGAAUGCUUUCUGCUAUGUCUGCCUUCGUUUAGGCAUAGACGUCCUCCUGUGGUAGCAGAGUUACUCUGCCUAGGAAACCCCGAAAUCAGGCACGCACAGACUCCGCUACAAGACAGUUGAAGCGCCAGGCGACGCAGGUGGGGAGUCACUCCGUAGAAAGCUGGGACACAGCGGGCCCGGGAGAUUCAGAGGCGUGAAGAGCCCUCCUUCCUGCCAGGAGAUGCACAGUGAUCCAGCAGUCCCUUCGGAACGUGAUCAUGGUCUACGGCCUCGGAUCCUCGUGAGAAAAGACCGACGAGGCAGCAUGAGGUCCGGAGGAGGACAUGUGGCGGAGAGGGAGCGCGGUGGCCCUUGGGCCCAGGAGUGCGCGCCCUGUCACCUGUGGCCUGGGGCUGAGCUGGCUUCCCUGAGGUCCAGCAUCUGCUGUCUGUGCCCUUACCCAUCCCGCGAAUGUUGCGUGACCCCCUCGGCUGUUCCGGGAUCUGAGGUGCCAACAACGUUACCCGCCCGCCCC